rnacentral:tRNA from 1 species
GGUGGCUCAGUGGUAGAGCGCUUGCCUUGCAUCCAUGAGGCCCUGGGUUCGAAUCCUCAGCACCA